rfam:Nadsonia fulvescens var. elongata DSM 6958 unplaced genomic scaffold NADFTscaffold_5, whole genome shotgun sequence.
CUCCUGGUGGCCAAGCUGGCUAAGGCGCGGGACUGUAAUUGAUACAUAUAUCCUGAGAUCGGGCGUUCGACUCGCCCCCAGGAGA